AUGGAGAGUGAGAGAGGGAGAGAGGGAGAAGGAUGUGAAGGACAGAGAGGAGGUGAAGGACAGAGAAAGAUCAGAGGAAGGUGGGAGGGAGGAUGUGGGGGACUCCACCGCGGACAGGGGUCCCUCACCAUUCGGGGUGAAGGGGUAAGGUCAGGCGACUCCUCCCUCCUGCCACCCAUCGUGUUCUCCAGGGCAGUGACAGCAGGUGGCUGGGGAGGAGGGGCCGGCCGGAGGGGCGAGAAGGCUGCUGGGGAGGAGGCGGGGAGGGGGCCGCGGGGGGGCAGGGGUCGUCUUACCUCUGGCUGCGCCCGGCACUGCCAUGGAGACCGCACUCCCGACGCGGCUCGCCCGGGCUCCCGCCGCCCGCCGGCUCCAGCUCGCCCGCCCUCCUCCUUCCCUCCCUCCUUCCCUCCGGGCCUCCCUCCCCCUCCUCGGUCCCAGCCUCCCGGGCUCGGCCCGCUGCUCACUCAGUCUCUGACCCCCCAGGCUCAGAGAGGCAGCUGGUGGUGUUCAGGACCGAGGAGCUGGCUGUUCGGGCGGAGGAAGCGUGUGUCACUGGCCUGUGUUCCCAGCCUGUGCUCCGAUUAG
rnacentral:lncRNA from 1 species